AACGAACGCUGGCGGCAGGCCUAACACAUGCAAGUCGAGCGGACCCUUCGGGGUUAGCGGCGGACGGGUGAGUAACGCGUGGGAAUAUGCCCUUCUCUACGGAAUAGUCCUGGGAAACUGGGGGUAAUACCGUAUACGCCCUUUGGGGGAAAGAUUUAUCGGGGAAGGAUUAGCCCGCGUUGGAUUAGGUAGUUGGUGGGGUAAUGGCCUACCAAGCCGACGAUCCAUAGCUGGUUUGAGAGGAUGAUCAGCCACACUGGGACUGAGACACGGCCCAGACUCCUAUGGGAGGCAGCAGUGGGGAAUCUUAGACAAUGGGGGCAACCCUGAUCUAGCCAUGCCGCGUGAGUGAUGAAGGCCUUAGGGUUGUAAAGCUCUUUCAGCUGGGAAGAUAAUGACGGUACCAGCAGAAGAAGCCCCGGCUAACUCCGUG
rnacentral:rRNA from 1 species